AUUGAACGCUGGUGGCAGGCCUAACACAUGCAAGUCGAACGGUAGCACAGAGAGCUUGCUCUUGGGUGACGAGUGGCGGACGGGUGAGUAACGUCUGGGAAACUGCCCGAUGGAGGGGGAUAACUGCUGGAAACGGUAGCUAAUACCGCAUAACGUCGCAAGACCAAAGUGGGGGACCUUCGGGCCUCAAACUAUCGGAUGUGCCCAGAUGGGAUUUGCUAGUAGGUGGGGUAAUGGCUCACCUAGGCGACGAUCCCUAGCUGGUCUGAGAGGAUGACCAGCCACACUGGAACUGAGACACGGUCCAGACUCCUACGGGAGGCAGCAGUGGGGAAUACUGCACAAUGGGCGCAAGCCCGAUGCAGCCAUGCCGCGUGUAUGAAGAAGGCCUUCGGGUUGUAAAGUACUUUCAGCGGGGAGGAAGGCGGUGAAGUUAAUAGCUUCACCGAUUGACGUUACCCGCAGAAGAAGCACCGGCUAACUCCGUGCCAGCAGCCGCAGUAA
rnacentral:rRNA from 1 species